ACAAGUUGUGAAAGGACAGAAGUUGUGCUAUGGCACGUCUCCGUGGUUUAGAGUGUAAACUUUUGUCUUCGAUUAUUUUAUGCUACGUUGUUAUGUAUUAUAGCAGAUUGAAAAAUGUCUGUUAGUUCUAAGAACAUGUGUCGUAUCUUUAUUUCCGUUGUUACAUUGCUUAUGAUAAACUCAAUUGUUCAGAAGCACCAAAUCAAUAUAUGGAGAAGACGGGAUAUAUCUUAGUAAAUGAUUUUAAUUGAGUUUUUU
rnacentral:lncRNA from 1 species